UACGAAGGGGGCUAGCGUUGUUCGGAAUCACUGGGCGUAAAGCGCACGUAGGCGGAUCUUUAAGUCAGGGGUGAAUCCCGAGGCUCAACCUCGGAACUGCCUUUGAUACUGGGGAUCUCGAGUCCGGGAGAGGUGAGUGGAACUGCGAGUGUAGAGGUGAAAUUCGUAGAUAUUCGCAAGAACACCAGUGGCGAAGGGCGGCUCACUGGCCCGGAACUGACGCUGAGGUGCGAAAGCGUGGGGAGCAAACAGGG
rnacentral:rRNA from 1 species